rnacentral:rRNA from 1 species
GACGAACGCUGGCGGCGUGCUUAACACAUGCAAGUCGAACGGAAAGGCCCUGCUUUUGUGGGGUGCUCGAGUGGCGAACGGGUGAGUAACACGUGAGUAACCUGCCCUUGACUUUGGGAUAACUUCAGGAAACUGGGGCUAAUACCGGAUAGGAGCUCCUGCUGCAUGGUGGGGGUUGGAAAGUUUCGGCGGUUGGGGAUGGACUCGCGGCUUAUCAGCUUGUUGGUUGGGUAGUGGCUUACCAUGUCUUUGACGGGUAGCCGGCCUGAGAGGGUGACCGGCAAAAUGGGGACGGAGAGACGGCAAAGACACGUAGGGGAGGAAGGAGUGGGGAAAAUUGAACAAGGGGCGGAAGCGUGAUGCAGAAAGGCCGCGUGCGGGAUGACGGCCUUCGGGUUGUAAACCGCUUUCGCAGGUGACGAAGCGUGAGUGACGGAAUGGGUAAAGAAGCACCGGCUAACUACGUG